CCUACGGGAGGCAGCAGUAGGGAAUCUUUCACAAUGGGCGAAAGCCUGAUAGAGCAACGCCGCGUGCAGGAUGAAGGCCUUCGGGUUGUAAACUGCUUUUAUAAGCGAGAAAUAUGAUGGUAACUUAUGAAUAAGGAUCGGCUAACUACGUGCCAGCAGCCGCGGUCAUACGUAGGAUCCGAGCAUUAUCCGGAGUGACUGGGUGUAAAGAGUUGCGUAGGUGGCAUAAUAAGUAGCUAGUGAAAUCUGGUGGCUCAACCAUUCAGACUAUUAGCUAAACUGUUAAGCUCGAGACCGUUAGGGGUAACUGGAAUUUCUAGUGUAGGAGUGAAAUCCGUAGAUAUUAGAAGGAACACCAAUAGCGUAGGCAGGUUGCUGGGACGGUUCUGACACUAAGGCACGAAAGCGUAGGGAGCAAACGGGAUUAGAUACCCGAGUAGUC
rnacentral:rRNA from 1 species